GACGAACGCUGGCGGCGUGCUUAACACAUGCAAGUCGAACGGAAAGGCCCUGCUGUUGUGGGGUGCUCGAGUGGCGAACGGGUGAGUAACACGUGAGUAACCUGCCCUUGACUUUGGGAUAACUUCAGGAAACUGGGGCUAAUACCGGAUAGGAGCUCCUGCUGCAUGGUGGGGGUUGGAAAGUUUCGGCGGUUGGGGAUGGACUCGCGGCUUAUCAGCUUGUUGGUGGGGUAGUGGCUUACCAAGGCUUUGACGGGUAGCCGGCCUGAGAGGGUGACCGGCCAGAUUGGGACGGAGAUACGGCCCAGACUCCUACGGGAGGCAGGAGUGGGGAAUAUUGCAAAUGGGCGGAAGCCUGACGCAGCAACGCCGCGUGCGGGAUGACGGCCUUCGGGUUGUAAACCGCUUUCGCCUGUGACGAAGCGUGAGUGACGGUAAUGGGUAAAGAAGCACCGGCUAACUACGUG
rnacentral:rRNA from 1 species